UCCUCGGUGGUCCAACGGCUAGGAUUCCUCGCUUUCACGAGCUCGCAAUACAAUGACUCUCUCAUUGCAUCCGAGGCGGCCCGGGUUCGACUCCCGGCCGGGGAA